ACGAGCGAGUACCCAGUGAAACUGCGAAUGGCUCAUUAAAUCAGUUGUGGUUCCUUAGAUCGUUGCCCCGUGCUACGUGGAUAACUGUGGCAAUUCUAGAGCUAAUACAUGCAGACAGGUCCCGAUCCUCCGGGAGAGGGGCGCAGUUAUUAGACCAAGACCAACGUCCCGCGAUGCCACCCGGCUCCGGGACCCCGUCGUGUGGUGACUCUGGAUAACCUCGGGCUGACCGCUUAGGCCUCCGUGCCGGCGGCGUAUCUUUCAAAUGUCUGCCCCAUCAAAUGUCGACGGGAGGUGCCUUUCCUCCCGUGUUGGCGACGGGUGACGGGGAAUCAGGGUUCGAUUCCGGAGAGGGAGCAUGAGAGUCGGCUACCACGUCCAAGGAAGGCAGCAGGCGCGCAAAUUACCCACUCCUGACACGGGGAGGUAGUGACGAAAACUAACGGUGCGGGACUCUGUCGAGGCUCCGCAACCGGAAUGAGUACACUUUAAAUCCUUGAGCGAGGAUCGAUUGGAGGGCAAGUCUGGUGCCAGCAGCCGCGGUAAUUCCAGCUCCAAUAGCGUAUAUUAAAGUUGUUGCAGUUAAAACCAGGAGUGGAGCCUGCGGCUUAAUUUGACUCAACACGGGGAAACUCACCCGGCCCGGACACCGUGAGGAUUGACAGAUUGAGAGCUCUUUCUUGAUUCGGUGGGUGGUGGUGCAUGGCCGUUCUUAGUUGGUGGAGCGAUCUGUCUGGUUAAUUCCGAUAACGAACGAGACUCCGGCCUCUAAAUAGUCCGCCCCCCCGUCAAUGGGUGUGGGGCGAAACCAAUUCGACUUCUUCGGGGGACUGGCGGCGCGGCAGCCGCACGAGACGGGGCGAUAACAGGUCUGUGAUGCCCUUAGAUGUCCGGGGCCGCACGCGCGCUACACUGAAAGAGUCAGAGGGUCGACUCCUGGCCUUAUGGGGCCGGGCAAUCCGUUGCCAAACUCUAUCGUGCUAGGGACUGGGGCUUGCAAUUGUCCCCACCAACGAGGAAUUCCCAGUAAGCGCGAGUCAUCAGCUCGUGUUGAUCACGUCCCUGCCCUUUGUACACACCGCCCGUCGCUACUACCGAUUGGAUGGUUUAGUGAGGCCUUCGGACGGGCCCCGGGUCGGGACUGCAGCCCUCGCGGAGGCGCCCGGCUGUCUUGGUGCUGCCCGGAAGGAGGUCGAA
rnacentral:rRNA from 1 species